GUAUGUUCGAGUGUGUUCAAUCACACUAGCUUAAAUUCGGUACGAGUGUGUCGUAACACUCUUCAAACACGUGUUCGAUCGAGUUUGGAACCCGAAGCGAAAAUAACGCAAACGAACAAUCACGACGGUCCUAUGUUCGAGUGCAAGCAGCAAACUCGGAUUUUAUGUAUAUUAUAUUUUCGGGUGUGUCGUGCACGUAUUGAUUGUGAUCGACACACUCGAGUGGCACUCGAAGACCAAAAAAUAAUAGAUAAACAUACGUACACACAUAUGUAUGUAUGUUGGCGUCGGGAUGACGCGUUCUGUCUUAGCUUUUUUGGUUGAAUAAUUUGAAUAUUAGACGUACAUAGUACAUAUUAUAAAAGAAUAAUUCAAUUUAAGAAUAGAAUUCACUCAAAACUUAUUUUAUUUAUUAAUUCAUAAAUCAUAAAUAAAAAACAUUUCAUUGCACUUAAAUAUUUUAAUUUUUUUUAAAUCACAAAUUUCAGGUGUAGACCAGAUAAGGUGUUUGUGCUAUUGGAAAUGUUCUCACAACCCGAAUUUUCUAUCGUUGUCAUUAUGAAUUAUAAAAAGUAAACAAAACGAACAAACCCAAUAAUCGUUGACAAUCACUACGCAAUAAUAGCAUGACUGCCAAUUACAUACAUACAUAUUCUGAAAUUUUGUGCACACUCGUGUGUGACUCGAUCACAUUCAAUACGAUCGGGUUAGAGUUCCAGCUCGUUCACAAACGAGUGUCAACUCGGCACUCUGUUAAAACAAGCAUAGACCCCUUUCACACAGGCAAUUUUUGUCGCGGCAAUUCUUAUUUUUAUAGGAGAGGGGGCGACGAGGAGAGGAGAAUCGCGCCGAGUCUGCUGUGUUCAGGCAACACGCUUUGUGUUCUUAUUCGUAACAGUUCGCUGCUACGUAACAGUGUUGCAUUUGCACAUAUUUUAAAAUUACUGUUUACAAUAUAUUUGAAAAUUUUAAUUUAAUCAUUUAAUUUUGUAUGUAAUUUGCAAAUACAUAUAGAAAUAUGCAUAAUAUAAUUAAAAUGUGCUAGAAAAUUGAGAAUAACGAUAAAAAUUAGUUAAUGAAAUAUAUAUUUUUUGCUUGGAAACGAUGCGUACAAGAAGUUGAGAAAAUAAUAUGAAAGAGAAUGACAGAAAAACACGAACAGAGUUGUCGAACAAGAAUUGCUCGUGUGAACGCAAGGGGCUACAGCAAAAGAGAAUCGCCCGAGAAUUAGCAACAGAAGUUGCCUGUGUGAAAGUGGACAUAUAUGCUUGUGUUUCGAGUGUCGCGAAAGGCUCGUUCGUUUUGAACAUGUCUCCAAGCGAUCAAUACGAGUAUUCAUACCGAAAAGUUUGAUCAAACAAAAUCAGAGUGGACAUUCGAGUGUGCACGAAAAUGAUAUACCCGUUGCAGCUCUCUGAUGUGUACAAAUUCUUGGAAUAAUAAACUUAGAAGUUUUCUCAGCAAAAAUGUUUGAAAAACGCAUUUUUAGCGCACCAACUAGUUGUAACCCCGGAAUUACUUUAUGAAAUCGUAUGCGACAAACGUAUUAUACAAAUAAAUUAAUUCAAAUAUUUACCAAACAUAACGAUUUUCGAAUUUCAAUGAGCUUAACUGAGGCAUUUGAUAUGAUUUUUAGGGACAUAGGUGGCAUUUGCUGUGGGCCAUAAAGUAAAGGUUUUACUGUCCAUUGUAGUAGUAUUUCGCUUAAAUGUAGUAAAAAUAAAUAAAAAAAUAAGCACGAAAAAGUUCUCACUGGGUUUCUUAGCUUUCGUGUUCACCUACCCACUCUCAGUUGCUCUCAUGCCAACAAUUUCUAUAGCUGAUCAGUAGUGACUAGCUACUCACACAUCGUCUCAUGAAAAACGCACAUACAGAAUUAUAUUAAUUCCAGCAAAAUUACUUAUGUAAGUCACCGGUUGUCCAGGCAUGAAAUGUAAACUGGUUUAAAUACGUAACUGAUUUUCUUCAAUAACAAUAUCAUGCUGCGCCAGUACGCUACUUUUUUAAAUUACGAAAAUAAAUUUGUGUCCAAUUCUAAUUUUCUAAUUGCUAAAAUUUAAUCGUUAUAGAAUAAUUGGUGAACACACAGAGAUAGAGAGGAAGAAGGAAGAGCAGACGAUAGAGAGACAAAAGUGGAGAGUUUUGAGAGUUGUGAGCGUAAAUAUACACAGAAAAAAUUGAUAAAUGUUAAUAAUUUUUUAUGAUUUUCACUGUAUGCGCUUUCAUUUCAUAUUUCAAUACUAUAUACAUAUGUAUAUGUGCAUAUUAUAAGUAAGAAAAAAAUUUGGGGAAAAUUUCAAAGUCAAAGCCAACAUUUCGUUACAUAACAGUUAUUCAUCAAAACACGAGAAGAGUAGCAAAAUAUAAAAAGUAACAUACAAACAAAUUGUAAAUAUCAAUUCUGAAUAAAUUUCAAAAAACAAAAAGUCAAAAAGAAAAAUAAUUAUAAAAUUUUAAUACUCGAAAUAUUUUGAAAACGUAUGCAAAAAUUAAAUUGGAAAUUGAAAAAAUUUGGUUAACAAAAGUAAAAUUUACUACUACUAAACUACUAAAAAAAUAAUGCUAAACAGAAAAUAUAACAUACAAACAAUAUGCAUGUCUAGUGUGUUGCUCAUAUAUUAGUGUAUAUUUGUCGCGAAUUGAAUGUGAAUUUUAACGCUAAAGUUUUAGUUUUACAAAUUAGCUGACAUUAUGCAAAAAAUAACAUUCACUAUAUAGUGAAGUGAAGACAGUGCACAAAUUUACUAAAAUUAAAAAAAAACUAUCCAGCUUCAUACACGUAUCUACAAAUGUCGUUUGAAUUGCCGAACAACAAAACCUGCUGCGCCUUUACAACGCUUUACUGACCCAAACUUUAAUUUUAAAUAUUUAAUCGAUUGAUAAUUUUAGGCUGUAGCUGAUGCAGAAUAAUCAUUCAAAUAUAUUGCAGCAUUUAAUACUGCAUUGAAGGUAUAUUGAUAAGACUUGCUCUCAUCACAGGCCACUAGGCGCAAAUAUCCAUAUUUCGAAGUAUAGUGAUGAACUCACACCUUCCUGUUUAUAAUAAACUUAAGCAAUUUGUUAUUUCUCAAAUGCAGUUUUACUUGUUAUAUGUUUUGAUAUCAUUUAAACAGACGCACGGACAGACAACACAGUUUAUAUGCAUAUUAUCUAAUAAGUCCGCAUUUUUUGAUUGAAGAAUUGAAGAAUUUAUAAAAAAUAAUGCGCAAACUACCAGCCGGUUUCACGGAACAAACUCAAGCGAAAUUUAAUUAAUUUCAGUUGCAGUCAUAUGCAACUAUGUUUACGUUUUUCUAUUAGCAGUUUUCUAUAUUUUAUUUCCAAUUUUUUGUUUACAUAAAUCAACAGUUAUUCUUACUAUUACUGUCAAAUGUGAAUAAUGUUGAAAGGUAGUACAAAGUUAAAUAAAACUUAAAAUUAAAUGGAACCAAAUUUUCAAUUUAAAAAUUUCGUGAAAUCGGCUGUAAGUGUAAGCGCAAGUCUUUUCUCUCUCUCUCUCUCUCUUAUGUAAUGUGUUUUUAUGAAUAGAGCAGAAAAAUUUAAUGAAGUACAAAAAUGUGUGUAUUUAUUGAAUGGAAAUUUUUAUAUUUAACAUUAGACAAAUUACUAAAUCAUAAUAUACACAAAUCAAUAAUUCUCAAUAUUUAUAUUUUGUUGUAGAUGGUACUAUUUUAUUUUUUCGUUUUGCAUUUUAUUAUGUUACUUGACUAGCACGAAACUAGUACCUACGGUCUCCCUGGAACAUAGUCUGCCUUUAAAAUAACAACAGUUAAGCAAGCGCUAUUUUGUUUGCCAAAAUAUUAAAUUUUAAUUCAUUCAUUCAGACAGUAUUUUUAUAUAAUAAGUAUUUUAUGUAUUAAAUAAAUAAAAAAUAAUUUGAAAAUAUUUGAAAUUAUUUUUAUUGAAUAUUAUACUGCUGACAAACUGCAUAAAAUUAAAAAAAAAAAACCUGUAUAUUUAUGCAAGAAUUUAUUUAUUUUUUUGUUUUGCUUUUCCUUUUUGAAUGUAAUUCAUACAAAAUCUAGCUUAAUCAAAACCCGUUUGAAGGUUAUAAUCACUACUUAUUAAAAAUAUAUUUUUUAUUGAAAUAAAAGAAAUAUGUAUUCAGUAAAAAACUGAAAAUAAUUAAUGUUAACAGCUCGAAAGUUAAUUCACAAAAUAUACAACUCCAACACCAACAUUAAAACUCUGACAUCUGACAUAAAUACAAAUUAAGAUUUUUGUAUCAGCGGCAACGUACGGAAUUUCAUUGCCUCAUAGGAGCUAGGAACACUAUUGAAUUUUAUUUUUAUUCGACGUGCAUAAAUGGAAGUAUUGAAAAAUCUAAACGGUUUUUUAGAGUUUUGACAGCAUUGCACGCUUUACAAAAAACUUAUCACCAAAAAGAAUUUUAUAAUUUUUCAUAAUCAUCCAAAGAAAAAAAUAUUACAGAGAAUUUAUAAGAUGGUGUGUGUGAAAACAUUAUUUAACAAAGUUUUGUUAAGAAAGCAGCGAAAAUUAAUAUUCAACCAUCCCAUAUAUGCAUGUAUGUAGGUCAACAAUUUUCAUUUUUGUGUAAUGCAAAUGAGCAAUACUUUGUAAUGAUGCGGCAUAAAUGUAUUUUUGCAAAGGACACAUUUUGUUAAAAUUAAACGUUUGACUACAGAGCACAUUGUCCCCAAACAAAGCAUGAACAGUUUAAUUAAUAAAACUCUGUAGUAAUGAAGUGUGGAUUUAACAACUGGAAUGUAGGGAACUAAUACAAUUGCUGUUUGGUAUUGCUAAAUAUGACCUUCAUUAAUUGACCACUGCUGCCUAUGUACAAUUUAAAUCAGAAAUAUUUUACACGCUAUUCAAUUUGGUCACACGGUUAACAAUAGUUAUUACCAACCACCAACAUUUUUACUAAUAAACAGCAUAUACUGUCGUUGUGUUAUAAUCAUACUUAUUGGCUGAAAAGUAAAAUUUAUUACAAACAAUUUGUAACUACAACAUACUUGGUUUAAUCACCGACGACGGUUUAUAAAACAACCAAAAUAUUAUAUAGUGUGCCUCUGCACUGUUCAAUGUUGCUACAAUAGUUUUCAUAGUUUUCCUAUAACUCGAAAAACAUGUAUGCUUUUAACUUGUCAACAUAACUGCCACGCCUGCUUUUUCAAUACAAAUUACUGUUUAAAGUGUUUGAAGCCAGAAUAUAAGCUACGUUAAAGAAUGUAUCUUGUUAAAAUCACAUUUUUGAAACAUUAUUUUUUACGUUGGUUAAACUUAUGCAAAUUACUAGAGUAAAUGUAUUCAUAAAAUCAACUUAUAAGUGUACUAAUUAUUUUAAAUAUAUAUUUUAAAAUAAGUUAUUGGAAGAACCAUCAUUAAGAGUCAAAAAAUAUAUGUAUGAAGUAAUAGUACCCCAAACCCGGAAGGUGAAACGUAUACAUGAAAGUAAAUAUGAGGUGAACAUGCAGAAAAAUUGAUAAAUAUUGAAGUGUUGCGUACGCUUUGAAGUUGCUUUUACGUACGUAUAUAUGUGUGUAUGUAUAUUUGGAGUUUAGAAUAUUUCGAAAAUUAUAAUUUUAAACUGUUUUGCGCAGUUUCAACUGCAAGCUUGUUAACAGUUCACAUAUUGCAUGUUUCCAAGUAGAAUUAUUUAAAUAGAUGGUAUUGCAAACACACCCCAAAAGCAAAUCUAAAGUGUCUUAUGUGCAUACAAAACGAAAUAGUAAGAAUUCACUUUCCCUUCCGUUUCUAUUUCAUACCAAAUAAUAUACGGCGGAUAUACAAACACAAAUUAACAAAGAACCUUCUGGAUAUGGGGUAUUUGAUGGAGUUCGGAAAUAUUCAUUGGGUUUUUAAUAUGCUCACUUUGGUUCCAACGAACCAUCAUAUAUCGUAACAUAAUUUUAAUUUGCAUUUUCUCCAUUUAAACCAUACGUAAGCAUAGGUAUUAUUAGAAUCCCAAAUAGUUCAGGUUUUAUUAUUUACAAAUAAUUAUUCUAACUUAAUUAAUUUAAUUUAGAUUUUUCAUUACACGUCUUUAACCUUGUUUUUUCUUUUUUUAAUUUCUUCAUGUAAGACUAAUGUGCAUUUUAGAAAUACUUGAAAUCUUAUAUUUUCAUUCUAAACAAUAUAACAAAAUAUAUUUGGGAGUUCACAAUAGGUUUGUUGAAAAAAUAUCGAUAUAGUAUAGAUAUGCAACGAUAUUUGUUAGCGAUAUUUAAAAUGUUGAUAUCGAAAAAUGAUUAUUGUUUAUUCAUUUACAACAGUUGUAAACUUUUUGUUAUUGUUUUUAAAAGUAAAAUUUGAAUAAGCUAAUACAACACCGCAAGUUAUGUUUAGUGUGCUAAUUGUGGCUGUUCAUCUAUCAGCCGUUUUUUGUUUACAUAAAAUGAAAAAUGAAAUCAACUAAAACUAAGGUUCUAAGUUAUAUUUAAUUAAAGACCAGUUAAAAAAAGGCGCUUAUAGAUUUGCUAAGUGAAAAUUCCCAACAUGAGGUUAAUUUUUCGUUUAACGUUUCGUAUAAUAAUAUAUAUUUAGUUGCAACUUGAAAAAAAAAAUCUAUUUCUUUCUAUGUCUCACCACCUGAAUAAUUACCGAAAUAGUACAUGCUAUAGGCCGGUGUUUGGUCUAAUGACUAUGCUAAUGCAAUAGCACACUAUUUCAAUAAACCAAUAGUAGGGCUUGUGAACUCCCUAAUUAUGAAAUUAAUUAAGUAAAAUUAAAUUUUAUUAAGUAAAAUAGUACAAAUUCGUACGUUAUGGCGUAAUUGACUAUUUCCGAACUCUUUGUUGUUAAUUAUGCAAUUAUAAUUAUAAAUAUGUACAUAACAUAUAUAUUUAUAUAAUUCUGUAAAUAUAGGUAUAUAAUUUUUAAAAUGUGUAUUAAUUUUCAUAUAAGUGUAUAUAUAUAUAUGGAAUGUAGAAUUGAACUUAUAGAACGAAAAAUUACUUGAUUUACGAAAAGUUGAAUAAUGAGUAGUGUGAAUAUGCAAAUAAUAAUAUAUUACUUAAUGUGAGCUCUUUCGAAUAACUGUAUUUAUGUAUUUAUAUAUGAAUGAAACAAAAAACAACGUUUAUGAUGUGAAAUAAUACUUAAAAAAUCGCCUAAACUCUAUAGCUAUAGUAAAUAAAAAUAUAUUUCGUUAUGUAACUAAUAAAUAUUUGUAUGUAUAUAUAUAUAUAUAUAUAUUUCAGUUACUAAAACAAGAUAAGGACCACUUACUUGAGUUUGUAAGCGUGUCAGUCCGCGUAUCCAAAGUAUUUGACCAGCACGUGGUUUCUUAUCAGAGUCAAUGGAAUCGAAACGUUCUUCUCCCAAAUGCAUAGCAUCAGUGUAUUCUUCAGGGUGUCCACGACCCCAAC